rnacentral:rRNA from 1 species
CAAAGGAAUUGACGGGGCCGCACAAGCGGUGGAGUAUGUGGUUUAAUUCGACGCAACGCGAAGAACCUUACCAGGGCUUGACAUCCCCUGACCGCGUAUGAAAGUACGUUUUCACCCUCGGGUGACAGGGAGACAGGUGGUGCAUGGUUGUCGUCAGCUCGUGUCGUGAGAUGUUGGGUUAAGUCCCGCAACGAGCGCAACCCCUAUCCUCAGUUGCCAUCAUUAAGUUGGGCACUCUGUGGAGACUGCCGGUGUCAAACCGGAGGAAGGUGGGGAUGACGUCAAGUCCUCAUGGCCCUUAUGACCAGGGCUACACACGUGCUACAAUGGCCGGUACAAAGAGUUGCGAUACCGCGAGGUGGAGCUAAUCUCAUAAAGCCGGUCUCAGUUCGGAUUGGAGUCUGCAACUCGACUCCAUGAAGUUGGAAUCGCUAGUAAUCGCGGAUCAGCACGCCCGCGGUCGAUACGUUCCGGCCUU